rnacentral:RNase_P_RNA from 1 species
AAGCCGGGUAAUCGCUCUGCAUGUAUAUGCAGGGAGGAAAGUCCGGACACCAACAAGUACCGCGCUCAGCGAUCCUUCGGGCGAAGCUGAGGACCGGCCGGGGCGACCUGACCGGGACAGAGAGUGCAACAGAAAAUAAACCGCCCCGAUUCGUCGGGGUAAGGGUGAAAAGGUGAGGUAAGAGCUCACCGCCCCGUACAGCGAUGUCGGGGGCUAGGUAAACCUCGCGGGGUGCAAGCUCAUGCAGAUGGUAUGUGCCGCUUGUCGCAACGCCAUCGGGUGGAGUGCACCAGAUAAAUGAUUACCGAACCAUGCCCGGCAUGGGGAACAGAAUCCGGCUUACAGGCUUUUC